rnacentral:rRNA from 1 species
AUUGAACGCUGGCGGCAGGCCUAACAUAUGCAAGUCGAGCGGAGAGAGGUAGCUUGCUACUGAUCUUAGCGGCGGACGGGUGAGUAAUGCUUAGGAAUCUGCCUAUUAGUGGGGGACAACAUUUCGAAAGGAAUGCUAAUACCGCAUACGUCCUACGGGAGAAAGCAGGGGAUCUUCGGACCUUGCGCUAAUAGAUGAGCCUAAGUCGGAUUAGCUAGUUGGUGGGGUAAAGGCCUACCAAGGCGACGAUCGGUAGCGGGUCUGAGAGGAUGAUCCGCCACACUGGGACUGAGACACGGCCCAGACUCCUACGGGAGGCAGCAGUGGGGAAUAUUGGACAAUGGGCGCAAGCCUGAUCCAGCCAUGCCGCGUGUGUGAAGAAGGCCUUAUGGUUGUAAAGCACUUUAAGCGAGGAGGAGGCUACUUUAGAUAAUACCUAGAGAUAGUGGACGUUACUCGCAGAAUAAGCACCGGCUAACUCUGUGCCAGCCGCCGCCGUAACAC